UCUUCCUGUUCACUGAGGGGAGCCGCCACCGCCCCUACCCCUUCCAGAGCUCGUGCUCUUCCUCUCUUCCCCGACCCCCUCGCACCGCUGGCCGUCGGCCCCUUCCCCUUCCCCUCCCCUUCCACCCUAGCCGCCGCCGGCCUCUCCCCUUUCGCCCUAGCCGUCGCCCCCCAUCGCGAGACGGAGAACCAGCCCAUCCCCCUUUCCUCUCCAUGGUCCUCGGGAGAUGCAGCAACGGGGGCCGCCGCACCACGCCGAGACGGCCGUCCGCAGCAAGUCGGGAGCUGUGGUGUUGAAGAGGCGCCUGGAAGCAAGUGGCGACGCUGCUCCGGUCAGGGCACGAGGGUCUGUUCGCCGUCGUCGAGAAUCCACUCAAGCUCACGCAGACUACCACCGUCCUAGAGGGUUGGAUGCUACGUUUGAGACUUAGGGGGCGAGGCUGGGGAGGCUAAGGAGGAGACCAGAGAGCGGCGACCUCGAGUUGGAAGGAGCAAUGAUC